rnacentral:snoRNA from 1 species
CCAAUAAGGACACCCUGGGAGGCCACUCUCUCCAGGCUCCAUCCAAGUGGCAUAGGGCUCUGCCUCCAUGACGGAUGUCCCCUUCUGCAAUGUUGGAGGUGAAGCUGGGCCUUUGAGUCUGUGCCUGCACAUUCCAGGGUCCUGUGGACAAUGAUGGAGGAGACAAAACAUUCAAAC